AAGGAGGGCUCCAUCCUCAACUUUCUCGGAGGACAACUGCUCCGUUCCACGGCGGGCCCAACCCUCCCCGCACACCGGGCUCCAGGUUUGGGGAGAACCAGGGACCGAGCCCCUCUCCGCGCGCACAAAGCAGCGGCGCCUGGGCGCGCAGCCCCCUCUCCGGCGCCCGCCAAUUUGCAAGCAUCUCUCUGGGCGCCUGCUUACUCCUCCGGCCCCGCAGCGGGGUCUCUGCCCCGGGCGCCCGCAUCGGACCGAGCUCCCGGCGCCGCGACCGCCCCGACCGCCCCGACCGCCCCGACCGCCGCGGCUGCUGCAGCCGCAUCCCCCCCCCCCCCCCCGAAAAAGGCCUGGCCUCUGCCUCGCCCGCCCGGCGCCCCACGCCCGGGCCCUACCGUGCAGCCCGGCGGGUGCCCGGGCAGUGCCAGCGCGUCGCACGGGUCCCAGCCGGCGAGGCUCCUCCCCGGGGGCUGCCCCGCGCGGGGCUCCGGGCUCCGGGCUCCGGACUAGGCUCGGCCGGCCCGGGCGCUGGCUCGUUGCCGCUCGUGGCUCCGGUUCCCGGGCCCGCGCCCGCGCCCGCCGCCGCCCGCCAGCAGGGAGGGGUGGGGGCAAACUCCCGGCAACUCCAACUCGGGGCGCCCGAGCUCCAGCUGCAGCCGCGCGCCCGCCCGCCGCCGCCGAGCGCGAGCGCCUGCUAAGCGAACCUGCCCCCGCGGCCGCCUCUGAGCAUGCCUAGUGCCGCCCUGGGCGAGCCCGAGCGCCCCGGUCCCGGGCGGAGAGCCGCGGCGGGGGGCCGGGGGCCGGGGGCCGGGGGCCGGGACGCGGGCCCGGGGAGGGCGGGACCCGCCUGCCAGGGAGGGGCCUGGAGCAAAGGGCCGCGAAUAGAGCGGCGUGCGGAGGCAACGCAAGUUUCACAGGUUGUGAGAAGUUUGGGCUGGAAAGAAUGUCUAGCAUGUUGGGCCCUGGAGGGGAAAGCCUAUAUAUUUAUUGAAAGAAUGGAAGAAAAUGAAGAAAGAACCAGCUACAUUCAUGAAGUAAUUGUCUCUGAAAAACAAGCCCCAAUGGUGGACUUGAGCCUGUUUGGAACAGGAAACCAGGAACCAUGUUAG
rnacentral:lncRNA from 12 species